rnacentral:rRNA from 1 species
UACAGAGGGUGCAAGCGUUAAUCGGAAUUACUGGGCGUAAAGCGUGCGUAGACGGUUCUGUAAGUCGGAUGUGAAAUCCCCGGGCUCAACCUGGGAAUUGCAUUCGAAACUGCAAAGCUAGGGUACGGUAGAGGGAAGCGGAAUUUCCGGUGUAGCGGUGAAAUGCGUAGAUAUCGGAAGGAACAUCAGUGGCGAAAGCGGCUUCCUGGACCAGUACCGACGUUCAGGCACGAAAGCGUGGGGAGCAAACAGG